rnacentral:ribozyme from 1 species
GUGCGGUCGGGGGACCCCCCCCUGGAAGCACGGCAGGGAAACAUCAUACGUUGUAUGAGCACAUUAACUGCC